rnacentral:rRNA from 1 species
GGUAAGUAGAGUGGCAAACGGGUGAGUAACGCGUGGGUGACCUGCCUUCGAGCGGGGGAUAACGUUCCGAAAGGGACGCUAAUACCGCAUAACAUCCUGCCUUUGAAGAGGUGGAGAUCAAAGCUGGGGAUUCGCAAGAACCCGGCACUUGAAGAGGGGCCCGCGUCUGAUUAGCUAGUUGGUGAGGUAACGGCUCACCAAGGCGACGAUCAGUAUCCGGCCUGAGAGGGCGGACGGACACACUGGGACUGAGACACGGCCCAGACUCCUACGGGAGGCAGCAGUGGGGAAUUGUUCGCAAUGGGCGCAAGCCUGACGACGCAACGCCGCGUGGAGGAUGAAGAUUUUCGGAUCGUAAACUCCUGUCGAAUGGGACGAGAAGGUCACGGGCUAAUAUUCCGUGAUCCUGACGGUACCGUUAAAGGAAACCCCGGCUAACUCCGUGCCAGCAGCCGCGGUAAUACGGGGGGGGUAAGCGUUGUUCGGAAUUACUGGGCGUA